AAUUUCAGUCUCAAUCUCAAUUCCAAUUUCAAUUUUAGGAGAUUCGGCUCGACUCAUUACGGGAAGUGCGGACCAGAGCGCCAAACUAUGGAGCGUCCAAACUGAGCAUCAAUUGUACAGCUUCAAUUUCGAUUCUCCCGCCAGGUCCGUUGAUUUCUCCGUCGGCGAUGAGCUCGCCGUUAUCACAGAACGCCCAGUCAAUGCUGUUGCAAUGUCACCUCUUCUUGAUCAUGUAGUAAUUGGAGGUGACGCAUAAGCUGUUACAACUACCGAUCAUCGUGCUGGAAAAUUUGAAGCCAAAUUCUUUGAUAAGAUUCUUCAAGAAGAAAUUAGAGGUGUGAAAGGGCACUUUGGACCAAUUAAGGCAUUGGCUUUUAAUCCUGAUGGAAA